UGUUUGUCCUUUUUACAACAGGACAUACUGCGUCACAUCGAAGUGAAAUUGGGACACCUAAAAGAAGUGGAUUUUCAAAGACUUCCAUUCGGAAGUAAAAACUACUAAUUAUUUAAUAGGACAUCCGGGUGGAUACAUUUCAAUUAAUUACGCUGUGCGGCAGAUGUACACGGUGGAAAGAUGGUCGAAGCAGAGUGAUUAUCAGGAGGAAACGAGUAUCACGUGUACGAUAAAUACAAUCCUCCCCCUUCCCCCUCCGUUGAAGCACUCAACCGAAAACAGCGCUCGUUCUUCGGAACACCUUGACGCCCCCAAGGGGAUAACAAACACUCUCUGCUCUGUAGUUCAUCCUACUCUGCACACGUAAUAAAACCAACAGUAGAAACAUUUUUCCAUACACGAGGCUUUUAGGGCGCUGGACUUGUAUUCAUGGACAUCCUGGGUGUCACGACGGAUGACGAAGUGUGAUCCGUAGGUGAAAAUCACCUCGCAGGUUAUGGUUUUCAGAAAAAAAAAAAUUAAAAAAAAGAGUUGCCUCCUAAGCAUCACCAAGUGAAACUUUCGACUAUGAGGUUACUCCACAUAGAUACUGUUACAUGUCCCCCUUCGAAUAUCAUUCAUUUGUCUAUGAUCUGAACUUGGUAAGAAGAACGACUGUCUUUUGGAUAACAUUCGUCUUGGCGUGUCUCUCUUCGGAGCUCUUACAUGACACAUCGUAAUACUUCUUGUAAUUAAUAAACCGCCCCAAACAUUUAUCAACCUGUG